rnacentral:tRNA from 1 species
GGAUUGUGGCUUAGUGGUAGAGCACUUGCCUAGCACAUGUGAGGCACUGGGUUUGAUCCUCAGCACCA